UUUCUAUAGUUCUAUUGUCCAGUUAAGAAUAGUGUUUUAAAAAUAUUAAAUGUGUUCAGAGAAAAAGAAGUUUAACUUCUGGAAAUAAGUACAUUUGGGCCAGGUUUAAAAAGCUAAAACCAGAGAUUAAAUUUUUAAAAAUUAAUAAUAUACGACAUACUCAUAAAUUAGGUAAAAGUUAUCUCUGUUAUAGGAUAUGGCACUUACUCCAUGCUAAUGUGCUUCUGAAUGCAGCCUCUGUUCCAGUAGAUUAUGAGCUCUUUGAGGAUUUGGGUAAUUGUCUCAUUUAUCUGUAUAUACCAGCAUGGUGCCUGACACAGUAUAGGCACUCAGUAAUUGACUAAUGAAUGAAGAAUGGAAGAAGUGGUCAAAGUAGGCUGACAGAUCAUAUACUUGCAUGGAACUAUCAUUCUAUAGUAUGAUAGAUGCAACACUUCAUAUUUUCUUUUUUGCUUAGAGAGAAAGGAUUUGGUAUAGUUGCGCUGUGGAAUGAAGGAAGUCACUUCUAAAUGGAGCUGAGUUACUUCUUGGGGAUAAAUAAUGUAAAUCCAAAUAGUAUGAGACUUAACUGAUGGCAUUCAAGAAACAUUCGACUUUACAUUUUCUUAAAUUUUUUGUUUUUGUUUAGAGAUUUUCUGAGUAUUCCAUUCUAACAGUAUAUUACUUUCAGUAAAAUACACAAAGAAUAAUGCAGAAGAAAAAAAUCUUGUUUUCUUUAUUUUAGAUAUUCCUACAAUAUCUGGAAGGAAAAACAAAAAAAUGCUUUAAAUUUAUUAAACUUACUUUUAUGACUUU